rnacentral:rRNA from 1 species
GUGUCAGCAGCCGCGGUAAUACCAGCUCUCCGAGUGGUGUGGAUGUUUAUUGGGCCUAAAGCAUCCGUAGCUGGCUGAGUUAGUCCUCUGUUAAAUCCACCGAAUUAAUCGUUGGAUUGCGGGGGAUACUGCUCGGCUAGGGGACGAGAGAGGCAGACGGUAUUCCCGGGGUAGGGGUGAAAUCCUAUAAUCCCGGGAGGACCACCAGUGGCGAAGGCUGUCUGCUAGAACGCGCCCGACGGUGAGGGAUGAAAGCUGGGGGAGCGAACCGGAUUAGAUACCCGGGUAGUCCCAGCUGUAAACGAUGCAGGCUAGGUGUUUGGGCGGCCACGUGCCGCUCUAGUGCCGCAGGGAAGCUGUUAAGCCUGCCGCCUGGGGAGUACGGUCGCAAGGCUGAAACUCAAAUGAAUUGACGGGG